AUCGUGAGAGACAAUGGACAAU
rnacentral:miRNA from 1 species